CGUUGUAUAGCAUAAAUCAUUAGGGCCUUUUUUAACCAGAACAUGAAUAAUAUUCAAGGUGGACGAAUGCAUACUCUUUUAUAACGUAUUGGAACGAGGGUACCCAACAUGAACUCGCGCGCCAGGUGUCUAAUGGGACAUCAUCGUUCCAUGGCUCUUGUUCGGUCAGAUCUCCCUCCAGAAGACUCAAAACACUUUGUAAAGGCUGGUGACAUCUAGUGGAAGCAAUAGGAAGUGCCAAAAUAUUCCUCAGCCCCUGUGUUUUUCAAUGGGAUAGGUUUAAAGGUAAUACAACACAUCAGGUAUCCACUUCCUGUCAGAAAAUGUCUCGGGGUUUUGCCUGCCAAAUGAGUUCUGUUAUACUCACAGACACCAUUCAAACAGUUUUGGAAACUUUAGAGUGUUUUCUAUCCAUAUAUAAUAAGUAUAUGCAUAUUCUAGUUACUGGGUAGGAUUAGUAACCAGAUUAAAUCGGGUACAUUUUUUUUAUCCAGACGUGCAAAUGCUGCCCCCUAGACCCAACAGGUUAA
rnacentral:lncRNA from 1 species